GGUCGUAACAAGGUAACCAGUAUUGGAUCCCCUAAAGUUUGAUCCUGGCCAAAAGGUGGACAAACGAACCCCCUUUUUUUCCCCCCCUAUUUGGUCCCCCCCCCUGACCAGCCACACUGGAACUGAGACUCUGUCCCCACUCCUACUGGAGGCAGCACUGGGGAAUAUUGCACAAUGGGCGCAAGCCUGAUGCACCCAUGCCGCGUGUGUGAAGAAGGCCUUCGGGUUGUAAAGCACUUUCAGCGGGGAGGAAGGCGGUGAGGUUAAUAACCUUAUCGAUUGACGUUACCCGCAAAAGAAGCACCGGCUAACUCCGUGCCAACAGCCGCGGUAAUACGGAGGGUGCGGCGUUAAUCGGAAUUACUGGCCGUAAAGCGCACGCAGGCGGUCUGUCAAGUCCGAUGUGAAAUCCCCGGGCUCAACCUGGGAACUGCAUUCGAAACUGGCAGGCUAGAGUCUUGUAGACGGGGGUAUAAUUCCAGGUGUAGCGGUGAAAUGCGUAAAGAUCUGGAAGAAUACUGGUGGCGAAAGCAUCCCCCUGGACAAAAACAGACACUCAGGUGCGAAAGCGUGGGGAGCAAACAAGAUUACAUACUUAGGGUAGUCUACGCCGUAAACAAUGAUAAUUAGGAGGUUAUGCUCUUGAGGCAGGGCUACCGGAGAUAACACAUUAAGUCGAACCAUUGGGGGAGGUACGGCUUAAGGUUAAACCCCGAAUGAAAUGCCCCGGGUUCAACCUGGGAAUUGCAUUCGAAACUGGCAGGCUAGUGUCUUGUAGAGGGGGGGUAGAAUUCCAGGUGUAGCGGUGAAUGUGUAGAGAUCUGGAGGAAUACCGGUGGUGAAGGCGGCCCCCUGGACAAAGACUGACGCUCAGGUGCGAUAGCGUGGGGGAGCAAACAGGAUUAGAUACCCUGGUAGUCCACGCCGUAAACGAUGUUGAUUUGGAGGUUGUGCCCUUGAGGCGUGGCUUCCGGAGCUAACGCGUUAAAUCGACCGCCUGGGGAGUACGGCCGCAAGGUUAAAACUCAAAUGAAUUGACGGGGGCCCGCUCAAGCGGUGGAGCAUGUGGUUUAAUUUGAUGCAACGCGAAGAACCUUACCUGGUCUUGACAUCCACAGAACUUUCCAGAGAUGGAUUGGUGCCUUCGGGAACUGUGAGACAGGUGCUGCAUGGCUGUCGUCAGCUCGUGUUGUGAAAUGUUGGGUUAAGUCCCGCAACGAGCGCAACCCUUAUCCUUUGUUGCCAGCGGUUCGGCCGGGAAUUCAAAGGAGACUGCCAUUGUAAAAAGGAGGAAGGUGGGGAAGACGUCAAGUUUUCAUGGCCCUUACGACCAGGAAAAAAGAAAAAAAAAAAAAAUUCUUUAAAGAGAAGUCCCUCUGGAGAAGGUGAAAAAAGGAAACCAAUUUGGGUUCUUUAAGGGUUUAACCCGGGUCCAAAAAGUGGUAAAAAGGUAACCAGAAUGGGAUCCUUUAGGGUUUGCCCCGGGCCCAGAAAGUCGUAACAAGGUAACCAGUAUGGGAUCCUUUAGAGUUUGAU
rnacentral:rRNA from 1 species